rnacentral:tRNA from 1 species
GCCGAGGUCGCCUAGCCUGGUAGGGCGCGUGCCUGGAAAUCUUUAACCAUAAAGCACGUUCUCGCAAGGGAUCGAGAGUUCAAAUCUCUCUCUCGGCG